CCGCGAAACCCGCCCCCCCCGGCGGGUCUGUCCGGCGUGGUGGCCGGGCACUGACGAGCAGCCAUCA
rnacentral:hammerhead_ribozyme from 2 species